GUUGGGAAUCUUGCACAAUGGGGGAAACCCUGAUGCAGCGACGCCGCGUGGAGGAUGAAGGCCCUAGGGUUGUAAACUCCUUUUGCAGGGAAAGACUUAGGACGGUACCCUGCGAAUAAGCCCCGGCUAACUACGUGCCAGCAGCCGCGGUAAGACGUAGGGGGCGAGCGUUGUCCGGAUUUACUGGGCGUAAAGAGCGCGUAGGCGGCCUGUUAAGUGAGAACUGAAAUCUCCAGAGCUCAACUCGGAAACUGGUUUUCAUACUGGCAGGCUAGAGGGAUGCAGAGGUAAGUAGAAUUCCUGGUGUAGCGGUGACAUGCAUUGAUAUCAGGAGGAAUACCCGUGGCGAAGGCGGCUUACUGGGCAUCAUCUGACGCUGAGGCGCGAAAGCGUGGGUAGCAAACAGGAUUAGAAACCCGUGUAGUCC
rnacentral:rRNA from 1 species